AGCCAGACCAUAAAAUUUUGUGCUCCAAGAGAGAAGGAUGAAAGUAUGGCAGCUCAUUCUGUUUGGUGUUUUGGUUCACCUAGUGCUGUUCUACUCCAUCUUUGACAUCUACUUCACUUCUCCUCUUGUGCACGGGAUGACGCCAGUGUCUCCCCCCACCAGAAAGCCGGCCAAGCGAUUGGUCCUGUUUGUCACCGACGGCCUGAGAGCUGACAAGUUUUUUGAGCUGGAUGAAGACGGGAAGACCCGCGCCCCUUAUCUCAGGGACGUCAUCGAGCACAGAGGUGUCUGGGGAAUUUCCCACACCCGCGUGCCCACCGAGUCACGGCCAGGCCAUGUCGCGCUGAUCGCUGGCUUCUACGAGGAUGUCAGCGCUGUGGCAAAGGGUUGGAAGGAGAACCCUGUUGAGUUUGAUUCUGUCUUCAACGAAAGUCGUCACACAUGGUCCUGGGGCAGUCCAGAUAUUCUACCAAUGUUUGCUAAAGGUGCUAGUGGAGACCAUGUGAGCACCAGCUGUUACCCUGCUGACCUGGAGGACUUCGCGGGUUCCGACAUGACUCGUUUGGACACUUGGGUCUUUGAUCAAGUGGAGGAAUUUCUCAAGUCUGCGUCUCUCAACGAGUCUCUGUCAGCUGAGCUCAAGAGGGAUAAGAUUGUAUUUUUCUUGCACCUUUUGGGGAUAGACACACAUGGACAUUCCAACAAACCACAUUCUAAAGAAUACUUGAAUAACAUUAAGCUAGUAGAUAAAGGCAUCUCUAAGAUGGUGUCAACAUUCCGAGAUUUCUACCAGGACGACGGAGAGACAGCGUUUGUGAUGACGGCUGAUCAUGGGAUGACAGACUGGGGUUCUCAUGGAGCCGGGCAUGCUCAAGAAACUUUGACUCCGUUUGUAGCAUGGGGUGCUGGAGUACGUAGUCCGGUGAAGUCGGCGAACUGUGGCGUGUACACAGACUCUUUCUGUGCAGACUGGAAACUUGAGGAUGUGCAGAGAUCAGACAUGGAACAGGCUGACGUAGCAACACUGAUGUCUCAUCUGGUUGGAAUUCCUUUUCCCGUCAAUUCUGUGGGACGACUGCCCGUCGAUAUUCUCAAUGCCUCUCGUGGAGAGAAGGCCGAGGCACUGCUUGCCAAUGCUGAACAAAUCCUGGCGCAGUUUCAAGUGAAGAUGGAUCAGAUCAAAGAUCGCACCAUCGCUGCAACGUUCAGGCCAUUUCAGGAACUGAUUGAGGCUGAGAAGCUCCAAAGUUUGAAGCACAUACGGAAGCUCAUCCAUGGAGGACAGUAUGAAGAUGCAGUGUCAGAGACUCAUCUUCUGAUUGACAAAGCUUUGCAAGGACUUCGCUACUACCAGACAUACGACCGCGUAUUUCUCGGCAUCAGCGUGGUCUUCGGGUUCCUGGGCUGGGUGUGCUACGUGCUGUACCUGGUGGUUCUCGAGCACACUGCUGUGGGUCAGGCCAGCGCCAGGAUAACCGCUGGUCACUCGGAGGGACACACUAGACUUCUUCUGUUUGGCUCCAUGGCUCUCAUCAUCUGUAUUUUGUUGGCAGUGCAAUCUCUCCACAUGAUGUGCUACGUUUACUGCCUCAUGCCUGUGUUGUUGUGGUACAAGGCCUGCCAAGGCCUGCGACUGCUACAGUACACUGUGCGAUGGACGCUGGCAAACAGACAGUUGGGACGUUUUGUCUUGUCAGUCGUCGUCAGUGCUGCUGGUCUGGAGAUAAUAGUCCUGAGCUUCUAUUACAGACAGCUGCUCUCUGUGGGUCUACUAGCCAUGUCCCUGUGGCCCAUCAUCCAGUCCAGAGGUCAAGGAAGGGUCAUGGGGCGGCCCUGGAUUGCUGUCGGCUGGUCUCUCACAUGCACGCUGGUGGGAAUGUUCCCUUUGAUGCCUGUGGUCGGAAGGGAGACGAGAUAUGCGUUGGUGACAUCCAGUGGUCUCCUUGCUGUGUUUAUUGGUGCUCUAAUCCUUUACAGGGUGUCAUUUUCAAGACAUUUCAAGAUUCUCUGUGGUUUCCAGCUGAUGCUGAUAGCUGUGUCAGUCCUGACGGUCAAGCUGACAUCUGAGAGUAUCGCUGACAGGCAGGGACUGCCCUGGUUCUGUCAGCUCUGUAGCUGGUUGGUGCUGGGUGUUUCAGAAUGUGGACUUCAAACAAGAUGGCUUGAUCAAAGACGAUAUAUCAUCAGCCACAUUUUCCCGCCAUUUGGAGCUGUCGGACCUCAGAAGGGCUUUCUAUUUUAUAUUUCUGAUCUUGACUGCGUUUUUUGGGACAGGAAAUAUUGCCAGCAUCAACAGCUUUGACCCGGCCUCGGUCUACUGCUUCCUGACCGUGUUCAAUCCUUUCCUGAUGGGAGCCCUCAUGAUGCUCAAGAAUAUGAUUCC
rnacentral:misc_RNA from 1 species